UACAGAGGUCUCAAGCGUUGUUCGGAUUCAUUGGGCGUAAAGGGCGCGUAGGCUGCGGGGCAAGUCGGGUGUGAAAUCUCAGAGCUCAACUCUGAAACUGCACUCGAUACUGCUUUGCUUGAGGACUGGAGAGGAGAUUGGAAUUCACGGUGUAGCAGUGAAAUGCGUAGAUAUCGUGAGGAAGACCAGUGGCGAAGGCGGAUCUCUGGACAGUUCCUGACGCUGAGGCGCGAAGGCCAGGGGAGCAAACUGGG
rnacentral:rRNA from 1 species